rnacentral:lncRNA from 1 species
GCUGUGGCUCCACCUACAAAAAUGCAAGAGGGAUGCAGAAACAUCUGCGGAAGGUGCAUCCGUACCACUGCAAGCCCAGAAAGAUAAAGACAAAAGACCUCUUUACCUGCUUGGAUGACAAACAUAAUGAAGCUGACAAGUUUGAUGCAGAACCCAAACCCAGCUCUGAUACAAACAGUGACUCCCUGGAUGAAGGUCCAGAUCACAGUAUCCACGCUAAAUGCAAACGAGAACAUCAAGGCUAUUCCCCAGAACCUUCCAUUUGUGCUUCUAAAAGGCCAUGUACAGAGGAUACAAUGUUGGAACUUCUGUUACGUUUGAAACAUUUAAGCUUGAAGAACUCAAUAGCACAUGGCUCUUUCUCAGGGUCAUUGCAGGGGUGCCCAUCUAGUGGUGCUAAGUCUCUUCAGUCAGUCCCAUCUUCCAUUUCAGACCUUAAUCUUCAGAAUCAGGAUGAAAAUAUGCCAAGUCAGUACCUUGCACAAUUGGCAGCAAAGCCUUUCUUCUGUGAGCUUCAAGGAUGCAAAUAUGAAUUUGUGACCAGAGAGGCUUUGCUGAUGCAUUAUCUUAAAAAGCAUAACUAUUCAAAAGAGAAGGUCCUUCAGUUAACCAUGUUUCAGCACCGGUAUUCCCCAUUCCGGUGUCACAUCUGCCAAAGGUCAUUUACAAGAAAAACACACCUUAGGAUUCAUUAUAAAAACAAACAUCAAAUUGGCAGUGACAGGGCAACUCACAGACUGUUAGACAGUGAA